rnacentral:rRNA from 1 species
GUGAGGAAUUUUCCGCAAUGGGCGAAAGCCUGACGGAGCAAUGCCGCGUGAAGGAUGAAGGCCUAUGGGUUGUAAACUUCUUUUCUCAGAAAAGAAUUAUGACGGUAUCUGAGGAAUAAGCAUCGGCUAACUCUGUGCCAGCAGCCGCGGUAAGACAGAGGAUGCAAGCGUUAUCCGGAAUGAUUGGGCGUAAAGCGUCUGUAGGUUGUUUAAAAAGUAUUCUGUCAAAGAUUAGGGCUUAACCCUAGAUAGGCCGAAUAAACUUUUAAGCUAGAGUUUGGUAGAGGCAGAGGGAAUUCCAGGUGGAGCGGUGAAAUGCGUAGAUAUCGGGAGGAACACCAAAGGCGAAGGCACUCUGCUGGGCCAAUACUAACACUGAGAGACGAAAGCGAGGGGAGCAAAUGGGAUUAGAAACCCCAGUAGUCC